AGGGCGCACGGUGGAUGCCUUGGCACUAGAAGCCGAUGAAGGACGUGACUAACGACGAAAUGCUUUGGGGAGCUGUAAGUGAGCAAUGAUCCAGAGAUGUCCGAAUGGGGGAACCCGGCAGGUAAUGCCUGUCACUCAUUACUGUUAAGGUAAUGUAGAGGAAGACGCAGUGAACUGAAACAUCUAAGUAGCUGUAGGAAGAGAAAGCAAAAGCGAUUGCCUUAGUAGCGGCGAGCGAAACGGCAAGAGGGCAAACCGAAGAGUUUACUCUUCGGGGUUGUAGGACUGCAACGUGGACUUAAAGAUUAUAGAAGAACUACCUGGGAAGGUAGGCCAAAGAGAGUAAUAGCCUCGUAUUCGAAAUAGUCUUUAUACCUAGCAGUAUCCUGAGUACGGCGAGACACGAGAAAUCUCGUCGGAAUCUGGGAGGACCAUCUCCCAACCCUAAAUACUCCCUAGUGACCGAUAGUGAACCAGUACCGUGAGGGAAAGGUGAAAAGCACCCCGGGAGGGGAGUGAAAUAGAACCUGAAACCGUGUGCCUACAACAAGUUCGAGCCCGUUAAUGGGUGAGAGCGUGCCUUUUGUAGAAUGAACCGGCGAGUUACGAUAUGAUGCGAGGUUAAGUUGAAGAGACGGAGCCGUAGGGAAACCGAGUCUUAAUAGGGCGCAUUAGUAUCAUGUCGUAGACCCGAAACCAUGUGACCUACCCAUGAGCAGGUUGAAGGUGAGGUAAAACUCACUGGAGGACCGAACCAGGGCACGUUGAAAAGUGCUUGGAUGACUUGUGGGUAGCGGAGAAAUUCCAAACGAACUUGGAGAUAGCUGGUUCUCUCCGAAAUAGCUUUAGGGCUAGCGUCGAUGUUAAGUCUCUUGGAGGUAGAGCACUGUUUGGGUGAGGGGUCCAUCCCGGAUUACCAAUCUCAGAUAAACUCCGAAUGCCAAUGAGAUAUAAUCGGCAGUCAGACUGCGAGUGCUAAGAUCCGUAGUCGAAAGGGAAACAGCCCAGACCACCAGCUAAGGUCCCAAAAUAUAUGUUAAGUGGAAAAGGAUGUGGGGUUGCACAGACAACUAGGAUGUUAGCUUAGAAGCAGCUAUUCAUUCAAAGAGUGCGUAAUAGCUCACUAGUCGAGUGACCCUGCGCCGAAAAUGUACCGGGGCUAAAACAUAUUACCGAAGCUGUGGAUACCUUUAUAGGUAUGGUAGGAGAGCGUUCUAUGUGCGAAGAAGGUGUACCGUGAGGAGUGCUGGAGCGCAUAGAAGUGAGAAUGCCGGUAUGAGUAGCGAAAGACAGGUGAGAAUCCUGUCCACCGUAAGACUAAGGUUUCCAGGGGAAGGCUCGUCCGCCCUGGGUUAGUCGGGACCUAAGGAGAGACCGAAAGGUGUAUCCGAUGGACAACAGGUUGAUAUUCCUGUACUAGAGUAUAUAGUGAUGGAGGGACGCAGUAGGCUAACUAAACCAGACGAUUGGAAGUGUCUGGCCAAGCAGUGAGGUGUGAUAUGAGUCAAAUGCUUAUAUCUUUAACAUUGAGCUGUGAUGGGGAGCGAAGUUUAGUAGCGAAGUUAGUGAUGUCACACUGCCGAGAAAAGCUUCUAGCGUUAAUUAUACUCUACCCGUACCGCAAACCGACACAGGUAGUCGAGGCGAGUAGCCUCAGGUGAGCGAGAGAACUCUCGUUAAGGAACUCGGCAAAAUGGCCCCGUAACUUCGGGAGAAGGGGCGCUGACUUAUGGUCAGCCGCAGUGAAUAGGCCCAAGCAACUGUUUAUCAAAAACACAGCUCUCUGCUAAAUCGUAAGAUGAUGUAUAGGGGGUGACGCCUGCCCGGUGCUGGAAGGUUAAGAGGAGUGCUUAGCGUAAGCGAAGGUAUGAAUUGAAGCCCCAGUAAACGGCGGCCGUAACUAUAACGGUCCUAAGGUAGCGAAAUUCCUUGUCGGGUAAGUUCCGACCCGCACGAAAGGCGUAAUGAUUUGGGCACUGUCUCAACGAGAGACUCGGUGAAAUUUUAGUACCUGUGAAGAUGCAGGUUACCCGCGACAGGACGGAAAGACCCCAUGGAGCUUUACUGCAGUUUGAUAUUGAGUAUCUGUACCACAUGUACAGGAUAGGUAGGAGCCUAUGACCUCGGGACGCCAGUUUCGAGUGAGGCGUUGUUGGGAUACUACCCUUGUGUUAUGGCUACUCUAACCCAGAUAGGUUAUCCCUAUCGGAGACAGUGUCUGACGGGCAGUUUGACUGGGGCGGUCGCCUCCUAAAAGGUAACGGAGGCGCCCAAAGGUUCCCUCAGAAUGGUUGGAAAUCAUUCGCAGAGUGUAAAGGUAUAAGGGAGCUUGACUGCGAGAGCUACAACUCGAGCAGGGACGAAAGUCGGG
rnacentral:rRNA from 1 species